rnacentral:rRNA from 1 species
UACAGAGGUCCCGAGCGUUGUUCGGAUUCACUGGGCGUAAAGGGUGCGUAGGUGGGUUGGUAAGUCAGUGGUGAAAUCUCCGAGCUUAACUUGGAAACUGCCAUUGAUACUAUCAGUCUUGAAUACCGUGGAGGUCAGCGGAAUAUGUCAUGUAGCGGUGAAAUGCUUAGAUAUGACAUAGAACACCAAUUGCGAAGGCAGCUGACUACGCGAAUAUUGACACUGAUGCACGAAAGCGUGGGGAUCAAACAGG